rnacentral:rRNA from 1 species
AAGCGGAGGAAAAGAAACUAACAAGGAUUCCCCUAGUAACGGCGAGUGAAGCGGGAAAAGCUCAAAUUUAAAAUCUGGUAGUCCUUGUGGCUACCCGAGUUGUAAUCUAGAGAAGCGUUAUCCGCGCUGGACCGUGUACAAGUCUCCUGGAACGGAGCGUCAUAGAGGGUGAGAAUCCCGUCUUUGACACGGACUACCAGGGCUUUGUGAUGCGCUCUCAAAGAGUCGAGUUGUUUGGGAAUGCAGCUCUAAAUGGGUGGUAAAUUCCAUCUAAAGCUAAAUAUUGGCGAGAGACCGAUAGCGAACAAGUACCGUGAGGGAAAGAUGAAAAGAACUUUGGAAAGAGAGUUAAACAGUACGUGAAAUUGUUGAAAGGGAAACGCUUGAAGUCAGUCGCGUUGGCCGGGGAUCAACCUUGCUUUUCUGCUUGGCGUAUUUUCCGGUUGAUGGGUCAGCAUCAAUUUUGACCGGUGGAUAAAGAUCAGGGGAAUGUGGCAUCUUCGGAUGUGUUAUAGCCCUUGGUCGCAUGCAUCGGUUGGGAUUGAGGAACUCAGCACGCCGCAAGGCCGGGUUUUUUAACCACGUACGUGCUUAGGAUGCUGGCAUAAUGGCUUUAAUCGACCCGUCUU